rnacentral:tRNA from 2 species
GCUCUUGUAGCUCAGUUGGUUAGAGCACUUGUUUAGUAAGCGGGAGGUCUUGAAUUCAACUUUUAACGAGAGCA